CCGCUGGUCGGAAACCAGCGGCUAACCCAAGGAA
rnacentral:ncRNA from 1 species